UCGACUCCCAGAAACUUCCCCUGCGAGUGCCACCCUGGAAAAGGACGCCUUUGGGAGGCGCAUGAACCACUCGGGCAAGGCGGCCAACGUGAAGCCUGUGGUGUUCCAGCUCAACUUUCCAGACGGAGCCAAAGACACUGUCCUGUUCUUGGCCAAGAGAGACAUAGAGGUGAACGAAGAGCUCCUUUUGGACUAUGGCGUGAGACGGAGGUCUUUCGGAGCGGAGGGCAUGGACCUGCCAUGGCUCGAUGACUGAAGACGAUUCGCGUUGGUUUCAUACCAUCGCGUUCGUCCCCUUUACGGCAGAGGCCGCUGGGACGUCUUCCCGGGACACGAGUUCUGUGUCGGGGAAGGGGUCGCGUGACAGCCGAUGGGACGCUUUCGUCAGUGAAUUCCCCGUGACGAUGGGUGCCCUCGCGCCCUCCAAAGAGGACCUCGUCGGUGCCGGGUUUGACGAUGAACGGACGGCCUACUUCAAAUGGAGGCGCAUCCAGUUGGAACAGCGUGUGCGACACGUCGCCGAUUCCUCUGGCAGGCAGCGACCGACGGAGGCCAAGGUGGCAGCCGUCGUAGCCAGGGAGAAUUGGAAAACCAAUGUCCCCUCCCUCCCGGAUGUGCUCAAGGCGUGGGUCUCCCCUUUAAAGAACAGGACAUGGUGUCUUUGGCUCCGUCUGUAAAGUUCAACUGGAACACCAGCCAUGGUUCCGGAUGAAGCGUCUCGCCGCUCACUGGUCGACCACCUAGAAAACAAAGGAUUCUUUGUCGUCGGUGAACCGUUGCGCCCCGCGCAUUGUGCAGUGCCCAGCUCUCAGGAGACGGGGCACAGGCCUGAGCACCGGCGUCUGCUGGAGAUGGCAGAGGGUCGGUCGGAGGAAGCUUGCCAUGGAAUCCUAACGGGAGAACGGUUGCCGCAUCAGCAGAUGACGAGGGUCUCCCCUUUAAAGGCAGCCAUCGAGGACGACGAAGGCUGUCCUCAAGUCGGUGGUGGAGCAACGGUGGAAGGGGAUCGAUUUUAAGGACUUUGGAGAACACGAGGGCAGAGGCGUCAUCGCCACCGUGCCGUUCUCCAAGGGGGACGUGAUAUGCGGCUAUCACGGGAAGCUCAUCCCUGAAUCCGAGGGGAAGAGGCUGACGAGGACGACGAAGGCUGUCCUCAAGUCUGACGAAGGCUGUCCUCAAGUCGGUGGGGAAGCUCAUCCCUGAAUCCGAGGGGAAGAGGCUGACGAGGACGACGAAGGCUGUCCUCAAGUCGGUGGUGGAGCAACGGUGGAAGGGGAUCGAUUUUAAGGACUUUGGAGAACACGAGGGCAGAGGCGUCAUCGCCACCGUGCCGUUCUCCAAGGGGGACGUGAUAUGCGGCUAUCACGGAAAGCUCAUCUCUGAAUCCGAGGGGAAGAGGCUGAUGGAUGCAAUGCAGGAGGGAGCGAUGAGCUACCUCUUCUUCGUCAGGGGCAGGCUAGGCACCGAGCUGUGCGUCGACUCCCACAACUUCCCCUGCGAGCGCCACCCUGGAAAAGGACGCCUUUGGUAGGCGCAUGAACCACUCGGGCAAGGCGGCCAACGUGAAGCCUGCGGUGUUCCAGUUGAACUUUACAGACGGAGCCAAAGACACUAUGUCCUGUUCUUGGCCCAGAGAAACAUAGCUGUCAACGAAGAGCUCCGUUGGGACUAUGGUGUGAGACGGGAGGUCUUUCGGAGAUGAGGGCAUGGACCUGGCAUGGCUCGGAUGACUGAAACGAUUCUCUUUGGUUCAUUGUGUUUCUCAUUUGUUGUUGCCGGUUAUCGCUGUUCUUGUUGUUUGGUGUCAUGUUUUUAAUAAAUGUUUUUGCCACAAAGGACAA